UACGUAGGGUGCGAGCGUUGUCCGGAAUUAUUGGGCGUAAAGAGCUUGUAGGCGGUUUGUCGCGUCUGCUGUGAAAAUCCGGGGCUCAACCCCGGACUUGCAGUGGGUACGGGCAUACUAGAGUGUGGUAGGGGAGACUGGAAUUCCUGGUGUAGCGGUGAAAUGCGCAGAUAUCAGGAGGAACACCGAUGGCGAAGGCAGGUCUCUGGGCCACUACUGACGCUGAGAAGCGAAAGCAUGGGGAGCGAACAGG
rnacentral:rRNA from 1 species